AAGCAGAUUAUUUUCCAUAAUGUGGGUAGGUCUCAUCCAAUCAGUGGAAGGCCUUAAGAGAAAAAGAUGAACUUACUGCAAGAGGGAUUUCUGCCAGCAGAAUGUCUUCAAACUUGAGCUGCAAUACCAACUCUUCCUUGGCUCUUUAGCCCAUCCUGCAGAUUUGACCUUGUCAAGACUCCACAAUCAUAGUGCCUGGGAAGAAUUGAGAAGACAUGAAAACAUGGAUUUUACUUGAUCAAAAAUUAGGAAUCCUGCUGUCAACUCAUAUUGACUUUCAAUGUCUUGAGCAUUGUUUCAUCUGGCUGAAAAAAUGAAUUUUGGACAAAUGAGAAAUAAAUGCUAAAUUAGAGUCCAAGUA